rnacentral:lncRNA from 1 species
AACACCCCAAUUUUCAUAAACUUUUCAAACUAAAAUCUUGAAGAACUAAUAAUUAAAAAUAAAAUUCCUUGACUAUCAAAAUUUAAACUAAUUUAAAAUCAACUUGCUAAAACUAAAGUAGUAACAUGAAAAAAAAUAAAAAAUAAAACAAUAAAUUAAAACUUAACAAGUUCAACUUAAAUUUCUAUGGAAAUACUAAAUCUCUAGUCAUUCUCGACUUCCAUGGCCACCUCAACUCCAUAACUGCAAAACUGAGAAGAUAAGGGGUGAGCAUAUUGAAAAUAUACUCAGUGAGAAACCAUGCACAUAUUCACAUACGCUUAAACAUGCAAAUAAUUCACAUUGUCAUACACAUAUACUGAUAAUAUGAUGGGCGAACUGAGAGCCUCUGAACAUAUAUUUCAACAGGACUAAAUUUCUGAACAUGUAUUUCUACAUGGCUGAACAUGUAUUUCAACAUGGCUGAUUUUCUGAACAUGUAUUUCUACAUGGCUGAACAUGUAUUUCAACAUGGCUGAUUUUCUGAACAUGUAUUUCUACAUGGCUGAGCAAGUAUAAUGAAACAUGAACUAAGAGCAUAUAAAAACAUACAUGAAUAUAACCACAAGCAUAUAAUCCCUCACCUUAAUCGCUUUGAAAAACUUUACGAAUCAUUAUUGUUCAAACUAAAAACUCCUCUAUGCGAACAAACAACAAAAGAAAAGGAAUAAAAAAACAAAAGUGAUUCCUCCCCUAAGUCUACAUCUGCGCCCUUAUUUCUACUAGUUUUUGAGGAGUUGUAAUAAUCAUGACUCUUAUUUUGAGUAUAUCCCUUAAUGGGACAAACAAAACCAAUUAGAAAGAUAGAGUUUAGAAGUUUUAAUGUGAAUAGGAUUAUAGGAAACAUAAAUAAAAUUUCGUAAAUAUUUGCUAUUUAAAAAUCCACGAUCACCCAUAAAAAAAAUAGAUUAGUUGACUCAAAAGCAAAUUAAACUAGUUAGAUUAAUUCCAAACUCAUUCCCCCAUAUAAAAUAAAUUGGUAAAUUGUUAGUUAAAUAAUAUCAAAAAUUGCACAUACCUUAGAUUAGGCAUAACACGUAAGCUAAAAAAAAAACAAACUAAUAAUAUAUAUAUAUAUAUAUAUAUAUAUAUAUAAAGAAAUAGAUGUAAUCAAGUUCAUCUAAUUAGAUUAUGAAAAACUUACUCACACAUCAAUAAUAAUAAUAAUAAUAAUAAUAAUAAUAAUAAUAAUAAUAAUAAUAAUAUUAAUCUAGAUAAAAUUAAUGGUGCAUAUCUAUAUAUAUCAUGUAAUUAUUAAAAAUUAAAAUAUAAAAGAAAAUACUAGAAAUUCACUCUCAAUAAUAAAUCUAAAUAUUUGGGGUGUUACAACCUAUCCCACUUAAAAUAAAUUUCGUCCUCGAAAUUUCUAGUCACGUUUCUUGAAUUGUUAUAACUUGUUCUAUCAAAAUUGAACAUAAUAGUAGUAGAACGUAAAAGCAUCAUAAAAAAUAUCAUGUAAAACAUCAUAACGCCAUAUACUUGAACAAUUAAAACACAAACCUUGGAGUCGAUGCAGCGCAUGAGUUUUGAAUGACUAGGCUUGUUUAAUCUUUUAAAAGAAAAUCUUUUUUUUUUGAAAUACGAGUCUACAGGAAAGUAGACCCGCUCUGAUACCACUAUGUAACGCCCCAAUUUUCAUAAACUUUUCAAACUAAAAUCUUGAAGAACUAAUAAUUAAAAAUAAAAUUCCUUGACUAUCAAAAUUUAAACUAAUUUAAAAUCAACUUGCUAAAACUAAAGUAGUAACAUGAAAAAAAAUAAAAAAAUAAAACAAUAAAUUAAAACUUAACAAGUUCAACUUAAAUUUCUAUGGAAAUACUAAAUCUCUAGUCAUUCUCGACUUCCAUGGCCACCUCAACUCCAUAACUGCAAAACUGAGAAGAUAAGGGGUGAGCAUAUUGAAAAUAUACUCAGUGAGAAACCAUGCACAUAUUCACAUACGCUUAAACAUGCAAAUAAUUCACAUUGUCAUACACAUAUACUGAUAAUCUGAUGGGCGAACUGAGAGCCCCUGAACAUGUAUUUCAACAUGGCUAAAUUUCUGAACAUGUA